UUGAUACACCUGGUUAAGCUGCCACCUGGGCUGCCAGCAUCACGUGAGUUCCAAAUGCUCCACUUCUGACCCAGCUCCCCGCUAAUGUGUCUGGGAAAGCAGUGGCAGAUGGCCCAAGUCCUUAGGUCCCCGCCAUCCACGCGGGAGAUUCAAAUGGAGUUCCUGGCUCCUGGGUUCAGCUCACCUUAGCCCCAGCAGUUGCAGCCAUUCGGGGAGAGAACCAGCAAAUGGAAGAUUUUCUGUCUCUCUCUCUCUCUCUUUGUGUGGGUGUGUGUGUGUCUCCCUCUGUCUCUCUCUAUAUAUAACUCUGCCUUUCAAAUAAAUUAUAAAUAAAAUAUUAAAAAGUAAGAAUGAAUUUCAUUACUGAAAAGACCAAUAUUACAUUUUUAAGUGGGUGUACCCUGACAUAAACACAUAUAUUUCUAUCUCUAAUAUAUUGAAGAUGAUCUGAACUCUGGAUUAGUAUUUGACUGAGCCUCCAUAAUUGAAAGAUUUUAAUGCCUGCUAGACAAAACUUAUUUUUCUCUUUGAUACUGAGAUAAGGAACACACUAGCUUUCUCAGAGAACAGAAUUUAUUAAGUCAUUUAGAUCCAUCCAAUUUCCACAUAAGUUACAGUGCUUCUUGAGUAACAGCUUCCUCCCCACUGCACAGCCUCUCCUUCCGCCUCCCUCCCAAGGACUCCAAACUAAAAACAGAUUUUAAAACUACAGACCAAUGCUUCAGGAUGAGAUUUGUUUCUCAUGGCAUGUAAAUCGUCUAGCAAUCUGGGAAAUGGUGGUUCAUGAGAAGGAGAAUUGUUGUCCAAAGGCAUACAACUUUUUCAUGUUAAAACCGAAGCAGAGCAAUUAUUUUCUUCAUAAAACUACAAUUCAGUGACUUCUGACCUUUUCCUCAUCCUGUCUCUCCAAGCAUUUCUCAUUCCAAUAGUAAUAGCACUGGGGGUAAAAAAAAAAAUGACCCACAUUUACAAGAAUGUAGCUUCUGGCAAGCAUCAUUUUCAAGAAUUCACUUCCUGGCUCAUGGUUUACAUGACCUGUCUUCUCUUGCUUUUUUCUUUCCCUCCACCCUUGCCCCCUCCUCUUCCUUGCAAACUGAAUUUUAAACCAUCGCACUCACUGCCACUUCCUGCCUCCCUUGCUUUCUACUUUCAUAUCCAUGGGAAUGGAAUCUGCUUGCUGAGGCCAACAGCCCCCUACCCACUGUUCCUACUACUCCAGCCACCUUUGAUUCAGAGACCAGUGAGCAUAACCAACUGCUUCAGAAGAGAUGCCGUGAUGAUGCACGCUGUGCCCUGUGUGGAGUCACCGUGACACAUGCUGGAGAUCAUCACUGUGCUGAAAACCUACCAAAUUCCAUCCCAUUUGACUAUUCAAUGAGUGCCUACUCUGUACCUAAUAAAGGAAGGAUGGAACUUUGGUGGAAAGAGGUG
rnacentral:lncRNA from 1 species